rnacentral:lncRNA from 1 species
CAAAUCUACAUAUAAGUCAAACAUGACUGAAAUCAUCAGACGACUCCUUAUUUGAGUUAUUGCCUUUUAUGACCUAUUUUCUGUGUUUUUUGAAUUCACAGUAUUUGCAUGCAGCGACGCAGAUAUUUUUGUCUCAGUCCAAGUUACGCUAGGGUCUCAGAGCAUAGGCUAGUGCCAUAUUCGAAAAGGGCUUUUAGUGAAGGCCUUUAUAGCAAUAUAACA